rnacentral:rRNA from 1 species
GGCUCAGAACGAACGCUGGCGGCGUGCCUAACACAUGCAAGUCGAACGGGGUCAUUUGGAAGUAGCAAUACGGAAGGAUGACUUAGUGGCGGACGGGUGAGUAACACGUAGGUAACCAACCCUAAAGCGGGGGACAACCCAGGGAAACUUGGGCUAAUACCGCAUAAGACCACGAACUGGGAUGUUUGUGGUAAAAGCAGCAAUGCACUUUAGGCUGGGCCUGCGGCCUAUCAGGUAGUUGGUAAGGUAAUGGCUUACCAAGCCUAAGACGGGUAGCCGGACUGAGAGGUUGAACGGCCACACUGGAACUGAGACACGGUCCAGACUCCUACGGGAGGCAGCAGUGGGGAAUUUUGCACAAUGGGCGAAAGCCUGAUGCAGCGACGCCGCGUGGAGGAUGAAGGUCUUCGGAUUGUAAACUCCUUUUGUAGGGGAAGAUAAUGACGGUACCCUAUGAAUAAGCCACGGCUAACUCUGUGCCAGCAGCCGCGGUAAGACAGAGGUGGCAAGCGUUGUUCGGAAUUACUGGGCUUAAAGGGCGCGUAGGUGGUGAUAUAAGUCCGGGGUGGAAGGCUGAGGCUUAACCUUGGAAUUGCCCUGGAAACUGUAUCACUUGAGUCAGCGAGGGGAUGGCGGAAUUCCUGGUGUAGCGGUGAAAUGCGUAGAUAUCAGGAGGAAGGCCGGUGGCGAAGGCGGCCAUCUGGCGCUGAACUGACACUGAGGCGCGAAAGCGUGGGGAGCAAACAGGAUUAGAUACCCUGGUAGUCCACGCCCUAAACGGUGGGCACUAGGUGUAGGGCUCGUAAGGGUUCUGUGCCGAAGGGAAACCAUUAAGUGCCCCGCCUGGGGAGU